rnacentral:piRNA from 1 species
UUGUCCAUGGUACCUGGGAUUCCCUCC